UCAAGCUAGAUACUUGUCAUCCGAGGUCUUCUAAAGUACUGGCCUGUAAUUAAUAGUUCAAAGGAGGUGAUGUUCGUUGGAGAGUUGGAAGAAUUCUAGAAGUUACUCAGGCAGCAGAAUUCCAACGCUGUAUGGUUCCGCUUUUUCCGUCAGAUUGGUCGCGCCUCAACAGCUCUCCAUUUUCAGGUUGCUGAACGUGCUUUGUUUUUGUGGAACAAUGAUCACAUAAAAAUCUGAUCACCCAGAACCGUUCGGUAAUACUCCCUAUAAUCUUCCAAGCAUUGGAGAGAAAACACGAGGUCAUUGGAGCCAGGCAGUUCGGAGUCUUACACUUAAUGUCAGGAAGACAUUCUCGGAUGCUGAUCAGGUGCUCUUUCUCGAAUGUUGGCCAGAUUCCAAGAAGAUGAAUCCAAGGAAAAGAGAUGCAGGAGAAGCAGGAACUAACCUGGAGGCAUUUGGAAGAUAUGGCCUCCUCUACCACCGUAAGCAAUGAGGCAGUAUUGGUUUCAAGUUUCGUCUCUUCCGUUGCUGUUGCAACAAGCCUAACUCCAAAGGCACUGGUGGGCAGUUGAGAGAAGCGACGAAAGCAACUUGUAAGAAAUCAUACCACAUCCACCAUAGUGAAAUACUGAAAUGGAUCCAGGGUGUAGCUCAAAUGGGUUAUGGGUGCACCAUGGGAAUCAGUAGAGCUCGCCGCAGUUUUUAACACUCGUGUCUCAAUAACCAAGUGGUGGUAUGUUGAUAUCAUCAUAUCAAGGUUGUUUCUUUUUUUUCUUCUGUUUUCCCAAUUCUGAAAUCAUUCAUUUUUUUUUCGUCUAGCUCCUUCCUCAUCCACGGCUGAGGAGUCGGUGUGUUCGAGUGAGUGUAUGAAAGCGAUUUGAUGUAACAUCAUAUUGUUAAUAUAAAGGCGGUUCGUUGGAUUUGA